AGUCGAACGGAAAGGCCCUGCUUGCAGGGUACUCGAGUGGCGAACGGGUGAGUAACACGUGGGUGAUCUGCCCUGCACUUCGGGAUAAGCUUGGGAAACUGGGUCUAAUACCGGAUAGGAACCAUCUUUAGUGUGGUGGUUGGAAAGUUUUUUCGGUGUAGGAUGAGCUCGCGGCCUAUCAGCUUGUUGGUGGGGUAAUGGCCUACCAAGGCGGCGACGGGUAGCCGGCCUGAGAGGGUGUACGGCCACAUUGGGACUGAGAUACGGCCCAGACUCCUACGGGAGGCAGCAGUGGGGAAUAUUGCACAAUGGGCGCAAGCCUGAUGCAGCGACGCCGCGUGGGGGAUGAAGGCCUUCGGGUUGUAAACUCCUUUCGCUAGGGACGAAGCUUUUUGUGACGGUACCUAGAUAAGAAGCACCGGCUAACUACGUGCCAGCAGCCGCGGUAAUACGUAGGGUGCGAGCGUUGUCCGGAAUUACUGGGCGUAAAGGGCUCGUAGGUGGUUUGUCGCGUCGUCUGUGAAAUUCUGGGGCUUAACUCCGGGCGUGCAGGCGAUACGGGCAUAACUUGAGUGCUGUAGGGGUAACUGGAAUUCCUGGUGUAGCGGUGAAAUGCGCAGAUAUCAGGAGGAACACCGAUGGCGAAGGCAGGUUACUGGGCAGUUACUGACGCUGAGGAGCG
rnacentral:rRNA from 1 species